rnacentral:rRNA from 1 species
AGUGAACGAGGGCGGUAGGCCUAACACAUGCAAGUCGAACGGCAGCACAGUAAGAGCUUGCUCUUACGGGUGGCGAGUGGCGGACGGGUGAGGAAUACAUCGGAAUCUACUUUUUCGUGGGGGAUAACGUAGGGAAACUUACGCUAAUACCGCAUACGACCUACGGGUGAAAGCAGGGGAUCUUCGGACCUUGCGCGAUUGAAUGAGCCGAUGUCGGAUUAGCUAGUUGGCGGGGUAAAGGCCCACCAAGGCGACGAUCCGUAGCUGGUCUGAGAGGAUGAUCAGCCACACUGGAACUGAGACACGGUCCAGACUCCUACGGGAGGCAGCAGUGGGGAAUAUUGGACAAUGGGCGCAAGCCUGAUCCAGCCAUACCGCGUGGGUGAAGAAGGCCUUCGGGUUGUAAAGCCCUUUUGUUGGGAAAGAAAAGCAGCAGGUUAAUACCCCGCUGUUCUGACGGUACCCAAAGAAUAAGCACCGGCUAACUUCGUG